GACGAACGCUGGCGGUGUGCUUCACACAUGCAAGUCGAACGAGGUAGCAAUACCUAGUGGCGGACGGGUGAGUAACGCGUGGGAAUCUGCCUUUAGAUGGGGGGAUAACGGGUCGAAAGACUCGCUAAUACCGCAUAUGACGAAAGUUGAAGGGAGUAAUCCGUCUAAAGAUGAGCCCGCGUCCGAUUAGCUAGUUGGUAGAGUAAAAGCCUACCAAGGCGACGAUCGGUAGCUGGUCUGAGAGGAUGAUCAGCCACAAUGGGACUAGAGACACGGCCCAUACUCCUACGGGAGGCAGCAGU
rnacentral:rRNA from 1 species